rnacentral:rRNA from 1 species
ACGGAGGAUGCGAGCGUUAUCCGGAUUCAUUGGGUUUAAAGGGUGCGUAGGCGGUUCUUUAAGUCAGUGGUGAAAUCCUGCGGCUCAACCGUAGAACAGCCAUUGAUACUGAAGGACUUGAAUAUAAUUGAGGUAAGCGGAAUGAGUAGUGUAGCGGUGAAAUGCUUAGAUAUUACUCAGAACACCAAUUGCGAAGGCAGCUUACCAAGCUAAGAUUGACGCUGAGGCACGAAAGCGUGGGGAUCGAACAG